UGUCAUAUAGCUUAGUUGAUUAAAGCACCGGUCUAGCGUACACGGAAUCGUGAGUUCGAGUCUCACUAGAACGA
rfam:Aedes aegypti strain Liverpool supercont1.4 genomic scaffold, whole genome shotgun sequence.